AGCAAAAGCAAUGCUUUAGAGCCUGCUGAUCAGAAAGGGAAGGAUUGUCAAGUGCUCUUGUCCAAGAUACUCUAAAUAAACAAUUGCUUCAAUCAUUCCAUUAAACAUGGCUGGGAGUCAGGAAGAACAGAUAUUGCAGUUCUCAGUUCAGCCAUUCUGACAGAAAGCAUCUGUUGGAUUUCCUGAGGGGCAGGAGCAAAACAAGAAGACAGAAGGCAGGUAAGAGGUUAGCAAGGAAGGCCAAGAUGGCAGUGAUGCCAAAGAAUGAAAAAAGUCAGGUGCUGAAGUACAUGAGUAUCUACAGUGCACAGUUUCUGACAUCCCAACUGGACCUGUGCUCCUGAAGACAAUCUUAUUAUCCACAACAUGACUUAAAAUAAGUUUCACAGUUCUUUUAUUUUCCAUUGCAUCUCCACAAACAGCUGUCCAAAAUGCAGUACUUAGGAAGAAUAAGGUAAUACUUAGGAAAGUACUAUUUGCAUUAGCCAGCUCUGAACCUGUUUGGCCUUAAACAUUAACAUUUCUUCUGGUGAGAAACUUGAACAGGAAGUGAAAAUCUCCAUGCCUCACAUUCUCCACUCUACUGCUAUUUGGGAAUGUACCAAUCAAAGAAGCCAUUAAAAGAGAAAAAAAAUAAAUUACUUACUGCAAGCA